GGAAUAUUGGACAAUGGGGGGAACCCUGAUCCAGCCAUGCCGCGUGUGUGAAGAAGGCCUUUUGGUUGUAAAGCACUUUAAGCGAGGAGGAGGCUACUCUAGUUAAUACCUAGGGAUAGUGGACGUUACUCGCAGAAUAAGCACCGGCUAACUCUGUGCCAGCAGCCGCGGUAAUACAGAGGGUGCGAGCGUUAAUCGGAUUUACUGGGCGUAAAGCGUGCGUAGGUGGCCAAUUAAGUCAAAUGUGAAAUCCCCGAGCUUAACUUGGGAAUUGCAUUCGAUACUGGUUGGCUAGAGUAUGGGAGAGGAUGGUAGAAUUCCAGGUGUAGCGGUGAAAUGCGUAGAGAUCUGGAGGAAUACCGAUGGCGAAGGCAGCCAUCUGGCCUAAUACUGACACUGAGGUACGAAAGCAUGGGGAGCAAACAGGAUUAGAUACCCCGG
rnacentral:rRNA from 1 species